GAUUUCAUUAUCGGCCACAUAGAUUCUUCUCCACUGAUUAGCCUCUUUACUGCCAUGGAAUCUGUCUCAAAGACCACUCUUGUAUAUCCAAACUUGGAGAGAGUGUGAAUGGUUCAUUUUAGUGCUUCAGCCUCUGCUUCCAACGCUUAUCUCAAUCUUGAUAGCUUCCUCGCCCCUGCCCACACUAGAUUUCCAUGAUGGGGUCUCUCUCCACCUAUCCCAUUCCACCUUCUCCCGUAUCUUUUAUUCCAGGCUCCAUCAAUGUUACAUUUGAUCCAUGUUGGUGGUGGUGGCCUCCAUCUCCGUUCAGAUUUCUCUGUUGUGGUGUUUUUAACUUCUACAUUUUUAAUUUUUUCUCUGUUUUUGCACUCCCUCUCGUCCUC
rnacentral:lncRNA from 1 species